UACGGAGGGGGCUAGCGUUGUUCGGAAUUACUGGGCGUAAAGCGCGCGUAGGUGGACGCAUCAGUGCGACGUGAAAUCCCCGGGCUUAACCUGGGAACUGCGUUGCAUACUGUGCGUCUAGCAUGUGCUUGAGGGGAGCGGAAUUCCUGGUGUAGCGGUGAAAUGCGUAGAUAUCAGGAGGAACACCGGAGGCGAAAGCGGCUCCCUGGGGCAUGAUGGACACUGAGGCGCGAAAGCGUGGGGAGCAAACAGG
rnacentral:rRNA from 1 species